UAAUACGUAGGUGGCAAGCGUUAUCCGGAUUUACUGGGUGUAAAGGGCGUGUAGGCGGGACUGUAAGUCAGGCGUGAAAACCAUGGGCUCAACCCAUGGCCUGCGUUUGAAACUAUAGUUCUUGAGUGUCGGAGAGGUAAUCGGAAUUCCGUGUGUAGCGGUGAAAUGCGUAGAUAUACGGAGGAACACCAGUGGCGAAGGCGGAUUACUGGACGAUAACUGACGCUGAGGCGCGAAAGCGUGGGGAGCAAACAGG
rnacentral:rRNA from 1 species